rnacentral:rRNA from 1 species
UACAGAGGGUGCGAGCGUUAAUCGGAAUUACUGGGCGUAAAGCGCACGUAGUCGGCUUUGCAAGUCGGUUGUGAAAUCCCCGGGCUCAACCUCGAAACGCCACUCGAUACUGCUGUGACUGGAGUCCGGUAGAGGAGUGCGGAAUUCCUGGUGUAGCGGUGAAAUGCGCAGAUAUCAGGAGGAACACCAACGGCGAAGGCAGCACUCUGGGCCGGUACUGACGCUGAGGAGCGAAAGCGUGGGGAGCAAACAGG